AUUGAACGCUGGCGGCAUGCCUUACACAUGCAAGUCGAACGGCAGCACGGGUGCUUGCACCUGGUGGCGAGUGGCGAACGGGUGAGUAAUACAUCGGAACGUACCUUAUAGUGGGGGAUAACGCAGCGAAAGCUGUGCUAAUACCGCAUACGCCCUGAGGGGGAAAGCGGGGGAUCGAAAGACCUCGCGCGAUUAGAGCGGCCGAUGCCUGAUUAGCUUGUUGGUGGGGUAAAAGCCCACCAAGGCGACGAUCAGUAGCUGGUGUGAGAGGACGAUCCGCCACACGGGGACUGAGACACGGCCCAGACUCCUACGGGAGGCAGCAGUGGGGAAUUUUGAACAAUGGGGGCAACCCUUAUACAGCAAUGCCGCGUGAGUGAAGAAGGCCUUCGGGUUGUAAAGCUCUUUUGUCAGGGAAGAAACACCGGCUCUAACACAGUCCGGGAAUGACGGUACCUGAAGAAUAAGCACCGGCUAACUACGUGCCAGCAGCCGCCGUAA
rnacentral:rRNA from 1 species